AAAACAUCAAUUGUCCGAACCUACUUGCCUACGUUGCAUUAUGCAAUAUGGAAGUAAGGUCGUUGUUUGAAGAAGCGAUGGUGAAGCAGGUAGUCACGAGAUUUCUUUGAAGCAGCCAGGGUAUAAUAGGAAACAAUUAUGCCUUCCCAUUGUAUAAGGACGAUGGUUAUAUUUUCA
rnacentral:ncRNA from 2 species